rnacentral:ncRNA from 1 species
CGAAAAUAGAGCAGCAGGGUGGUGGCUCCUGCGCCCGUUUCAGCGGGUUCUUCUCUGCCUCGG